GCCUGGGUGGCUCAGUAGGUUAGGCAUCUGCCUUCAGCUCAGAUCAUGAUCCCAGGGUCGUGGGAUCGAGCCCUUCCUCAGGCC
rnacentral:tRNA from 1 species